rnacentral:tRNA from 2 species
GGGCCCGUAGCUUAGCUUGGUAGAGCGCCCGGCUGAUAACACUCCCGGUCAGACACCGGGAGGUCGCGGGUUCAAGUCCCGCCGGGCCCA